UGUGGCACAUUUCAUGAGAGAAUAUGAUAGAAUUCUCUCAUCUUCCUUCUCUUCCAUUGCCUCCAUCAUUUCAUGAAAGGAAAGUUUUUUUCUUUUUUAAUUUGGUCAUUUUUACUAUUUUAAACCAAAACAAGUUUAAAUCCUUCCAAAAUUUCCAUAGAUUUUUUUACCGAAAUCGAUAGAAAAACCUUAUAACAAGCUUGGUUUCCUGAGAAGAGAGAUUAUGGUCAUCUUGGAGGAGAGAGAAAAGUGAAGAAAGAUUUUGAAGUAAAGAAACAAGUGAAAGAGAAGAGAAGUGAUUGUCAAGGGGUUGAUGAAGGAAAGAGGUAGCAAAGGAGUGAGAGAAGGAAGAAGAAAGCAAAUCCAAGCACUUAAGUAUCAUCAGAAACUUCAAUUGGUUGGAAUCUUGUCGGAGCCUAUCACACUAUCUACCGAUCAUUUUGGUAGAACGUUUUGGUUACGGUUAUAAAUGGCAUGUAUAAGGCUGAUAUGUAAUAGAUGUAUUUGUAUAUGCUUGGAUAUUUAUUACAAAUGUUAUGUAUUAAGCUUGGUAUAAGCUUAAUAUAUGUGCCUUUAAUCUUGGUGUAAAUAUGUUUAUAUAAAGUUGUUUUGGUCUUUUGAUAUAAACUUUAUUUAAGUGUUUGAAUCAUGGUAGGAAUGAAUGUGAAUGAAUAAGAAGAAAUGAUAAGUUUGGUA